rnacentral:lncRNA from 1 species
CUGGCAAUGAAUUGCCAGGGCUAGAAGGUGGCUUUUUCCUCUCCAGAGAGGAAUUUCUGCCUCUUUCACCUGAGUCAGCACUGUCCCUUGUUGUGGGAGUUCUUUUCAUCCAGCUUUCAGUUCUCUCAGGGGUAGCUGUUCCAGAGUAGUUAUCAAUUUGUUGUGUCCAUGGGAGGAGAUUCCUGAAUCAAGAUUUUCUGUCAUAGAUUGGUUGAAGGGAGGUAAGAAGGAGAGGAGAGGGGUACAAGGAGCUGAGAUGUUGCUGAAGAGGAAGAUGGAGAAAGAGGGAAGGAUGAGCGAACCACGCCCUUCUUGUCCUGGGAGAGCAUCAGAGGCCUGCUGGGGACUGAUUGUAGGGUUGUGACAACGAUGCCAGCAUUCUUUGGAGAUGGCAGCGCCUCAUAAAGCUCUUAAAGAAGUGGAUUCAUAUGUCAGGGAGAAGGAAAGGGAAGAAGUCAGCAAUCACAGAAUCAAGAGAGCAACCCUGGGCACCAAGCCUUCAAAGUGAUGAUUAUCUUUCUAUAUUAAAGAUUUCAAAGAGUUCGAAA